rnacentral:rRNA from 1 species
UACGUAUGGGGCAAGCGUUAUCCGGAUUUACUGGGUGUAAAGGGAGCGUAGGCGGCAGGGCAAGCCUGAUGUGAAAGCCCGGGGCCCAACCCCGGGACUGCUCUUGGAACUGCGUGGCUGGAGUGCAGGAGGGGCAGGCGGAAUUCCUGGUGUAGCGGUGAAAUGCGUAGAUAUCAGGAGGAACACCGGUGGCGAAGGCGGCCUGCUGGACUGCAACUGGCGUUGAGGCCCGAAAGCGUGGGGAGCAAACAGG